AGGGAAUCUUCGGCAAUGGGCGAAAGCCUGACCGAGCAACGCCGCGUGAGUGAGGAAGGUCUUCGGAUUGUAAAACUCUGUUGUGAGGGAAGAACAAGUACCGUUUGAAUAAGGCGGUACCUUGACGGUACCUCACGAGAAAGCCCCGGCUAACUACGUGCCAGCAGCCGCGGUAAUACGUAGGGGGCAAGCGUUGUCCGGAAUUAUUGGGCGUAAAGCGCGCGCAGGCGGUCUCUUAAGUCUGAUGUGAAAGCCCACGGCUCAACCGUGGAGGGUCAUUGGAAACUGGGAGACUUGAGUGCAGGAGAGGAAAGCGGAAUUCCACGUGUAGCGGUGAAAUGCGUAGAGAUGUGGAGGAACACCAGUGGCGAAGGCGGCUUUCUGGCCUGUAACUGACGCUGAGGCGCGAAAGCGUGGGGAGCAAAC
rnacentral:rRNA from 1 species